CAAAUUUCUGCCCUAUCAACUUUCGAUGGUAGAGUAGUGGUCUACCAUGGUUUCAACGGGUAACGGGGAAUUAGGGUUCUAUUCCGGAGAGGGAGCCUGAGAAACGGCUACCACAUCCAAGGAAGGCAGCAGGCGCGCAAAUUACCCAAUCCCGACACGGGGAGGUAGUGACAAUAAAUACUGAUACAGGGCUCUUUUGGGUCUUGGUAAUUGGAAUGAGUACAAUUUAAAUCCCUUAACGAGGAACAAUUGGAGGGCAAGUCUGGUGCCAGCAGCCGCGGUAAUUCCAGCUCCAAUAGCGUAUAUUAAAGUUGUUGCAGUUAAAAAGCUCGUAGUUGAACCUUGGGCCUGGCUGGCCGGUCCGCCUCACCGCGUGCACUGGUCCGGCCGGGCCUUUCCUUCUGGGGAGCCGCAUGCCCUUCACUGGGUGUGUCGGGGAACCAGGACUUUUACUUUGAAAAAAUUAGAGUGUUUAAAGCGGGCGUAAGCUUGUAUACAUUAGCAUGGAAUAAUAGAAUAGGACUUUGGUUUC
rnacentral:rRNA from 1 species